UGAGCAACCUGCCCUUAGCUCUGGGAUAACCCCGGGAAACCGGGGCUAAUACCGGAUACGAGUCCGAGCGGCAUCACGCGGACUGGAAAGUUUUUCGGCUAAGGAUGGGCUCGCGGCCUAUCAGCUUGUUGGUGGGGUAAUGGCCUACCAAGGCGACGACGGGUUGCCGGCCUGAGAGGGCGACCGGCCACACUGGGACUGAGACACGGCCCAGACUCCUACGGGAGGCA
rnacentral:rRNA from 1 species